GCUCAGGACGAACGCUGGCGGCGUGCCUAACACAUGCAAGUCGAACGGUAAGGCCCCUUCGGGGGUACACGAGUGGCGAACGGGUGAGUAACACGUGAGCAACCUGCCUCUGACUUUGGAAUAACAGUUGGAAACAGCUGCUAAUACCGGAUAUGACUUACCYYCGCAUGGGGGUGGGUGGAAAGCUCCGGCGGUCAGGGAUGGGCUCGCGGCCUAUCAGCUAGUUGGUGAGGUAAUGGCUCACCAAGGCUUCGACGGGUAGCCGGCCUGAGAGGGCGACCGGCCACACUGGGACUGAGAUACGGCCCAGACUCCUACGGGAGGCAGCAGUGGGGAAUAUUGCACAAUGGGCGAAAGCCUGAUGCAGCAACGCCGCGUGCGGGAUGACGGCCUUCGGGUUGUAAACCGCUUUCACCCAUGACGAAGCGCAAGUGACGG
rnacentral:rRNA from 1 species